AAGUACAAGUAUAUAUAUGUAC
rnacentral:snRNA from 1 species